rnacentral:rRNA from 1 species
GACGAACGCUGGCGGCGUGCUUAACACAUGCAAGUCGAACGGAAAGGCCUGCUUUCCCUUGUGGAUUGCGGGUACUCGAGUGGCGAACGGGUGAGUAACACGUGAGUGAUCUGCCCCCAACUUGGGUAUAAGCCUGGGAAACUGGGUCUAAUUCCCGAUAGGACUGCAGGGUGGUGCCUGUGGUGGAAAACGAUUUUCUAGUGGUUGGGGAUGAGCUCGCGGCCUAUCAGCUUGUUGGUGGGGUAAUGGCCUACCAAGGCGGCGACGGGUAGCCGGCCUGAGAGGGUGGACGGCCACAUUGGGACUGAGACAAGGCCCAGACUCCUACGGGAGGCAGCAGUGGGGAAUAUUGCACAAUGGGCGGAAGCCUGAUGCAGCGACGCAGCGUGGGGGAUGACGGCCUUCGGGUUGUAAACUCCUUUCGACCGCGAGGAAGCCACCUGGUUGGAAGGGUGGUGACGGUAGUGGUAGAAGAAGCACCGGCUAACUACGUG